CACCCUUCGCAGUGGCAGACAAAGCCUAUGAGGUCAACUGGAGGCGUGAUUAUUGCUAGUUGAAAACUUUAACUAAUUCCCGCCUUGACGACCUGAAAUAUAGUCGCAAUGGUACUUUUACGGUCUCUAUGGAGA